UACGUAGGGGGCAAGCGUUGUCCGGAAUCAUUGGGCGUAAAGAGCGUGUAGGCGGCCAGAAAAGUCCGCUGUGAAAACUCGAGGCUCAACUUCGAGCUGUCGGUGGAAACUUUCUGGCUAGAGUCCGGAAGAGGAGAAUGGAAUUCCCGGUGUAGCGGUGAAAUGCGCAGAUAUCAGGAGGAACACCGGUGGCGAAGGCGGUUCUCUGGGCCUUACCUGACGCUGAGGAGCGAAAGCGUGGGGAGCAAACAGG
rnacentral:rRNA from 1 species